rnacentral:misc_RNA from 1 species
AGGCCUUCGUGAUGAGCUGCCGCUACCUGGUUCGAUGGUUUCUAGAGCUGUAUUAAGAUCUUCAGAUUCUUGGUUGUUGUCUCUGCUGUCUUCUUGUUCUUCCUGGUUUUGGUUUUGGUUUUGAGUAGGGGUGGUGGUGGAGGUGGAGGCGGUCUUAGCGCUAUUAGUGCUAUUGGUUGUGUUUGUGUCGAUAAAAUCUUGUUCUCUUCUAGGACCCAGCCGGUUCAAACCGGCAAUAUCUUCCUCUGUGUUUCUCAGGUGAAGAGACGGAACUGGGGAUAU